rnacentral:rRNA from 1 species
AGUGAACGCUGGCGGCAGGCCUAACACAUGCAAGUCGAGCGGCAGCGGGUUCCCGCGAGGGGAUGCCGGCGAGCGGCGGACGGGUGAGGAACACAUCGGAAUCUGCCUGGUUGUGGGGGAUAACAUAGGGAACUUACGCUAAUACCGCAUGCGACCCUGAGUCGACGGACUUGGGGUGGAAAGUGAGGGACCUUCGGGCCGUCACGCGACCAGAUGAGCCGAUGUCGGGAUAGUCUAGUUGGCGGGGGUAACGGCCCGCCAAGGCGACGAUCCGUAGCUGGUCUGAGAGGAUGAUCAGCCACACUGGGACUGAGAC